rnacentral:lncRNA from 1 species
AAGGAGGAUGCUGUCUGCUCCUCGGACGGACACCAGCCCUGGAGCUGUGCCCGCGGAUGCCGAGCCAGGGGACCCAAGCUUCUCCAGUGGCGCCAGAUUUCCGGGGGGAUCAGGAGUCAAGCCCCGGGAACGAGGCUGGGGAUUCACCCCGAUGAUGCCGGGCCCAUUGGCCCCCCCCCCCCAUGGCCCUGUCCUGGUUUGUCCCGGGCCCAGGUGCCGGUCGUCCAGAACAAACUCCUUCUUCAGGUGGCUUUGUCUCAACCUGCCAGGCAAUCUGGACCUUUGGCCGUGGCCAGGCCCAGGGGAGCUGCGGGCUCCGGCCUAGGGAAGACCCUUCCAGACCCUCCAGGCAGCCCAACCUCAGCGGGAGCCACCAGCAUCGCUCCAGCACCAAGGACCUGGGAUUGGAGAGCGUGGGCCCCUUCGGGCUUCAGCGAGAGGUGGGUGCAAGGUUGGCCGCCCUUCCCUGCGCGGGCUCUGGGCUCCAGCCCGUGGUUCUGUGUGUACCCAGGCCCCUCCCAGUGUCUCUACACUGGGGCUCAGCCCACAGCCUGGCCGCCGGGCUCUCUGUGCUGCAGCCUCUGGUGGGUCAGGAUGCAGCCCCAGAGCAGAACGACAAAGCGGGUGCAGCCCACACCCCGCUGCCCCGACCACGGCCUGGGUAGCGGCUCUGCUGUGAGCUUAAUUGUGUCCCCCCCCCAAAGAGACGGCCACAUCCCAACUCCUGAUACCUGUGACUAUGGCCUUCUCUGGAAGUGGGGUCUUUGCAGAUGUGAUGAGGUUAAGACGAGGCCAGACUGGAGUGGGGUGGCCCGCACCCCAGUGGCCGCGGGCCCUAUGAGAAUAGGGAGCUUUGAGGCACACAGGGAGAGGCCAUGUGAGGACGGUGGCAGAGAGGAGGGAGGUGGCCACGAGCCAAGUGCACCUGGAGCCCCAGGCCCUGGAUCCACCCCAGAGGCCCUGGGGAGCUGGGCCUGCAGACUCCACCCUCGGAUUCAGACCUGGCUCUAG